ANNUACUAGCAUAUCAUAGCGGAGGAAAGAACUACAGGAUUCCCCUAGUAACUGCGAGUGAAGCGGGAAAAGCUCAAAUUUAAAAUCUGGUGGCCUUUGUCCAUCCGAGUUGUAAUUUAGAGAAGCGUCUUCCGCGCUGGACCGUGCACAAGUCUCCUGGAACGGAGCGUCAUAGAGGGUGAGAAUCCCGUCUUUGGCACGGACACACCAGGGCUUUUGUGAUGCGCUCUCAAAGAGUCGAGUUGUUUGGGAAUGCAGCUCAAAAUGGGUGGUGAACUCCAUCUAAAGCUAAAUAUUGGCGAGAGACCGAUAGCGAACAAGUACCGUGAGGGAAAGAUGAAAAGCACUUUGGAAAGAGAGUGAAACAGUACGUGAAAUUGUUGAAAGGGAAACGCUUGAAGUCAGUCGCGUCGCCCGAGACUCAGCCUUGCCUCGGCUUGGUGUACUUCUCGGCUGACGGGUCAGCAUCAAUUUUGCCCCUUGGAUAAUGGCGAGGGAAAUGUGACACCUUUACGGGUGUGUUAUAGUCUCUCGUCGCAUGCAAGGGUCGGGAUUGAGGAACUCAGCACGCGCCCUCGGGCGUCGGGGCAUCUGCCCACGAUACGUGCUUAGGAUGUUGGCGUAAUGGCUUUAAACGACCCGUCUUGAAACACGGACCAAGGAGUCUAACAUGCCCGCGAGUGUUCGGGUGGAAAACCCGUGCGCGCAAUGAAAGUGAAAGUUGGGACCUCUGUCGUGGAGGGCACCGACGCCCGGACCAGACCUUCUGUGACGGAUCUGCGGUAGAGCGUGUAUGUUAGGACCCGAAAGAUGGUGAACUAUGCCUGAAUAGGGUGAAGCCAGAGGAAACUCUGGUGGAGGCUCGUAGCGAUUCUGACGUGCAAAUCGAUCGUCAAAUUUGGGUAUAGGGGCGAAAGACUAAUCGAACCAUCUAGUAGCUGUCUGCGAUU
rnacentral:rRNA from 1 species